UACGAAGGGGGCUAGCGUUGCUCGGAAUCACUGGGCGUAAAGCGCACGUAGGCGGCUUCUUAAGUCAGGGGUGAAAUCCUGGAGCUCAACUCCAGAACUGCCUUUGAUACUGAGAGGCUUGAGUCCGGGAGAGGUGAGUGGAACUGCGAGUGUAGAGGUGAAAUGCAUUGAGAUCGGAAAGAACACCAACGGCGAAAGCGAGCUGCUGGGCCGACACUGACACUGAGAGACGAAAGCUAGGGGAGCAAAUGGG
rnacentral:rRNA from 1 species